CAAUAAGAGAAUUGCGACUAGGAGAAAUUGAUAAGGACAAAUACUUGUUGGAAGAUAAUGUCUACAGUUACAACUAAUUGGUAAUAUUACUAUUAAUAUCGGUGUCUUUUCGGGUUACACACAAUAACAAAUAUAAGUAACAUUGGUUAAAGAAUAAUUAAAUGGAUCUAGCUUGUUGAUUAAUUAAGGGCCUGUUUGAUACGCAUCUGACCGAGUCAGGUCAGACAUUUUUUGCUGACUCGGUCAGAUAAAGAUGUUUGAUAAACUAAAUUUGGGGCAUCCGACUCGGAAAGCUUAAUCUGAUCGGGUAAGAUGGAAAAAACCAACUGACUGAGAAAGGAGGAAGAAAGGGAGAAGGGUUUCCAAUUGUACCCUUGCGCUACCGAAGGAAGAAAUCAGCGACUCCAUUGUUUCUUCUCCUACUUCAGCGCCAAUUUUCUUCUCCCGUAACAAGCAAUCGUCGACGAUCCUUUUCUCAUCUGUUCCGAUUUUUUGAAGUCUCCUUCCCCUUCUCAUCAGAAUUUAGGCCCUGUGCUCGAUUUCAUCAUAUUUCUUUUGUUUUAGACUUGUGCUCAAUUUCAAGGAGGGAGAGAAACCUGCGAUAUUUGCUGCAAUUUGUAUUAAAUAUCAAAGAAAACAUGUUUUUAUUGUUGAAAAACUUUUAAGCUUUUGGAGCUCCUGAUGCAUGUUAUAUGUUUGAUAAAAUGUGUGAACCAAUAUUUAGAUUUUAUUAAUAGGUAUACAAGAUCCUCCUGUAUGCUAUAUGUUGAGGCAUUUGCGAUUGAUAGAUAAUUGUCUAUUAGGAACACCAAUUCUGUCAUUUUUGUCAAAAACCAAUGAUAUGGUGGAUGACCCAUGAUUAAACCAGAUCAUCUCAUGGAGCGAUAGUUGAAGGAUAAUGGUGCAACCUUUCAUUUUGUUCUAUACAUGUAUAGCAAGGAUAAUGGUGCAACCUUUCAUUUUGUUCUAUACAGAUCUUCUUAGCAUAUUUUGUCUGUGCGACGCAGGCCACGUGCAGACAUUAGCCUCCGCAAACUGUUUGUUUUUUCUAAGACUGCAGACCUAAAAAUGUCUUCUCUCAAAUGUUUAAUCCAGUUAAGGAUCUAUGCCCUCUCUUCCAAUCCGUAUACCCAGAUGCAAGUUUUUUUUUGUUAAAUGGCAAAUUGGUUUCAUCAAAGUCUUGUGUUACAGAUUAUUCAUCUACAAUCCUUGAUGAGAGCCUAAAAAAGUAAAAAUGCAGAUUAUUAACUCAAGUAACAC